rnacentral:rRNA from 1 species
GCAGUCGAGCGAGCAGAACCAGCAGAUUUACUUCGGUAAUGACGCUGGGGACGCGAGCGGCGGAUGGGUGAGUAACACGUGGGGAACCUGCCCCAUAGUCUGGGAUACCACUUGGAAACAGGUGCUAAUACCGGAUAAGAAAGCAGAUCGCAUGAUCAGCUUAUAAAAGGCGGCGUAAGCUGUCGCUAUGGGAUGGCCCCGCGGUGCAUUAGCUAGUUGGUAAGGUAACGGCUUACCAAGGCGAUGAUGCAUAGCCGAGUUGAGAGACUGAUCGGCCACAUUGGGACUGAGACACGGCCCAAACUCCUACGGGAGGCAGCAGUAGGGAAUCUUCCACAAUGGACGCAAGUCUGAUGGAGCAACGCCGCGUGAGUGAAGAAGGUUUUCGGAUCGUAAAGCUCUGUUGUUGGUGAAGAAGGAUAGAGGUAGUAACUGGCCUUUAUUUGACGGUAAUCAACCAGAAAGUCACGGCUAACUACGUGCCAGCAGCCGCGGUAAUACGUAGGUGGCAAGCGUUGUCCGGAUUUAUUGGGCGUAAAGCGAGCGCAGGCGGAAAAAUAAGUCUGAUGUGAAAGCCCUCGGCUUAACCGAGGAACUGCAUCGGAAACUGUUUUUCUUGAGUGCAGAAGAGGAGAGUGGAACUCCAUGUGUAGCGGUGGA